ACUCCACAAAAGCAGUCAAAUUUUAUUUGGAUCACCUUUCAACUUGAGAAAAAGAAACACAAACUGCAAGUGUUGGGCAUAUCUGAUCCAUAUAACAUUACAGCAUCCGCCGCCGCAUUUCUACCGUUAAAAACCAUCAGUUUACCGUUUACCUUGUGGGGAAUCCUCACCUAACACACCCCAGUCUCUCCUCCUCGAUUAGUGAAUCCGAAAGCACAACAACCAUCUAGCAUUUCCAGCAACUCAAAGUAACAGCUUGUUGUUGCUUACUGGUCGGCAGGCAGCGGAAAAUAACUUCAUUUUUGCCCUCCAAGGGAGCGUUUUCCUUGGAAUGUGACGUCAUGUGAAAACUAUGAAUUGGACAUUCUGGUCAAGGCUUCACUCUCCGUUGUUUAUUUGGUAAAACGCCAAAGGAGGAGCUACAGUAAGCUGGUGCGACUGCAACGAAGAGGACGCUGCUACCGGGAAUAUUUCUCUCUGAUGUGCGCUCGCUGUGCAAUAAACUGGACAAACUUUCGGCUACUGGUGGGGAAAACAGAGACUUCUGUUCUGUGCUUCACAGAGAUGUGGCUUUGUGGAUCGAUACCGGACUACGCACUUAAGCUGGCUGGAUUCCAACUCUAUAGAGCGGACCGCGACACAGAGCUCUCUGUUGGUAGAGCGGACAUUCCCGGACACACUUAGUUAUUGUUCUUGGUGACCACGUUAUGGUCCACUUAAUUCCUUCAUACAGGCAGAAAUUAAAGCUCCGUAAACCUGUGGUGAGGACUUCUAAGCAGUGGACCAGUGAAGCUGUAGAGGACCUUCAGGUGUCUUUGGACUGUUCUGACUGGGAUGUUUCAGGACUGCUACCAAUAGUCUGGAUGAGUAUACAGAGGGUGUGAUGUCCUACAUCAGCUUCUGUGAAGACAACUGUGAACCAUCCUUAAAGGCGGGUAGCUCCACCUCAGAGAGGGAUGUCAACAGACUGUUCAUGAGGCAGAAACCUCGCAAAGCCGCUGGGCCGGACUCUGUCUCCCCAUCCACCCUGAAUCACUGUGCUGAUCAGCUGUCUCCGGUGUCAUCCCGGCCCUGCUGCAGAACAAGCUCUCCCAGCUGAGAACUACCAACAGGCACUUUAGCCACCAGGAUUUAUUUAAUAUAAACAUAUUGCAUGAAAUUAAAUUGUUGUUUUCUUUUCAACAGGAAGUCGAGAUGAAACGGAUUGUACAGAGUUCACGACUACUUCCUGCCCUGCACUGAGGGAACUUUCAUGAAUCAGCCUACUGGACAUAAACAAUGUUUUGCCUGUACAACUGUGUUGCAGGUGAUGUCCCUGUCCCCUGAUUUUACUCUCACUUCAUCCCAAAUCUCAGUGAGAGGACGUCUUCAGCCCAUGAAAGCUGUGAUUCUGCUGUACAAAAUGAUGUUUAGAAGAAAACCUCUGGCACCUGCAGCAUUGAUGAUACUUGUGAUGAAUGUCUUGAGAGGACACAGCCUCCCAUGUCAUCGAGGAGAGUAUGAGAUAGGGGAGGAAUGCUGCCCUGUUUGUCCUGCUGGAAGUCGAGUUAAAACAGAUUGUACAGAGUUCACAAGUACUUCCUGUCUGCCCUGCACUGAGGGAACCUUCAUGAAUCAGCCGACUGGACGUAAACAAUGUUUCCCCUGUUCAACCUGUGUUGCAGGUUCUGGUUUGAAGAUAAAGACGUCAUGUACAACAACAUCAGAUGCAGUUUGUGAACCACUGGAGGGAUUCUACUGUCUGGACUCUACAGAGGACAGCUGUAUGACAGCACAGAGACACACAAGCUGUCAACCAGGACAAUACAUCAGUCAGAAAGGGUCGUGGGGGGCUGGAGCCAAUCCCAGCUGACAUCGGGCGAAAGGAACAGCAUUCACAGACACAAAGUGCUCUGACUGCAGCGUUGGAACAUUUUCAGAUGGGACAUUUACGUCCUGUCAGCCGCACACACAAUGUGAAUCAAUAAACCUGAAAGCAGGAACUGCUUCAACCGAUGCUGAAUGUGG